CGCGCGCUCCCGCCUCGGCCUCCUGCUGCCGUCCGGGGCCACCGCCGGGCCCCUCGCUCCGCAGCCGCCGUUGUCGCCAGACCCGACGAGCCGAGCGCCGAGCGCCCGCCCCCAUCCGGCGGCCCCGCCCCGCGGGAACCAUUCACCAGCCCCGCGCCAUGACACCUACUGAGGCGGAAGUGCGGAGGAGCGGGCCGACUAGGACCACAUAGUACAGAUGGGAGUGGGAGCGGGGGGACCUCCGUGGGGAGCCAGCGUGGAUCGAGUGCGGGAGCCGGAUUCCCCGCCCCCUCCGCGCGGCAGACUCCGCGGUCAUUUAAAGGGACGUCCUAGCCCAGUGGCCUCCGUGUACGGGAUCCGGGAGCCUCCGAGGACUCGGGAGCUCUUUGCGAACUCUUCCGCCGCCGCCUUGGGAACCAGUGGUUGCGUUACGAGGUGGGAACGAGCCCCUGUGCUCUGCACCCAACACCUCAAAACGAGCAGUGAGCGAAUACUACAGUAGUGCCCUUGCCUUUACCGGGAGCUACCAAGACUGGAUAUUCAGGAACCGGAGUGCAUUGGGCACACACCAUUCUGGAAAGAUGGACACGUGAAAACGAGGUUAUCCCAAAAGAGAGGCAGAUGCCAUCUUCCAGAGUCGGAAGACUCUGUAGGACUUCAGAGGCACCUCCCGCUGUGUACAAUGUUCUUAUUCUUAAAGUAAGGACCAUUUUUAGAGCGACAGUA